rnacentral:rRNA from 1 species
AACGAACGCUGGCGGCAUGCCUAACACAUGCAAGUCGAACGAGACCUUCGGGCCUAGUGGCGCACGGGUGCGUAACGCGUGGGAACCUGCCCUUAGGUUCGGAAUAACUCCCCGAAAGGGGUGCUAAUACCGGAUAAUGUCUUCGGACCAAAGAUUUAUCGCCUUUGGAUGGGCCCGCGUUGGAUUAGCUAGUUGGUAGGGUAAAAGCCUACCAAGGCGACGAUCCAUAGCUGGUCUGAGAGGAUGAUUAGCCACACUGGGACUGAGACACGGCCCAGACUCCUACGGGAGGCAGCAGUAGGGAGUAUUGGACGAUGGGCGAAAGCCUGAUCCAGCAAUGCCGCGUGAGUGAUGAAGGCCUUAGGGUUGUAAAGCUCUUUUACCCGAGAUGAUAAUGACAGUACCGGGAGAAUAAGCACCGGCUAACUCCGUG